GCCUUUGUAGCUCAAUGGAUAGAGCACUUGCCCUCGAAGCAAAAGGUUGGAGGUUCGAGCCCUCUCAAAGGCACCA
rnacentral:tRNA from 1 species